AGACAGCAGUCGCCGCGGUAAAACGGAGGGCGCGAGCGUUACCCGGAUUUACUGGGCGUAAAGGGCGUGUAGGCGGCCUGGGGCGUCCCAUGUGAAAGGCCACGGCUCAACCGUGGAGGAGCGUGGGAUACGCUCAGGCUAGAGGGUGGGAGAGGGUGGUGGAAUUCCCGGAGUAGCGGUGAAAUGCGCAGAUACCGGGAGGAACGCCGAUGGCGAAGGCAGCCACCUGGUCCACUUCUGACGCUGAGGCGCGAAAGCGUGGGGAGCAAACCGGAUUAGAGACCCCCGUAGUCCCUGUCUCUUAUAC
rnacentral:rRNA from 1 species